rnacentral:rRNA from 1 species
UACGUAGGGUGCAAGCGUUGUCCGGAAUUAUUGGGCGUAAAGAGCUCGUAGGCGGCUUGUCGCGUCGGCUGUGAAAACCUGGGGCUCAACUCCGGGCCUGCAGCCGAUACGGGCAGACUAGAAUUCGGUAGGGGAGACUGGAGUUCCUGGUGUAGCGGUGAAAUGCGCAGAUAUCAGGAGGAACACCGGUGGCGAAGGCGGGUCUCUGGGCCGAUAUUGACGCUGAGGAGCGAAAGCGUGGGGAGCGAACAGG